rnacentral:rRNA from 1 species
UACGAAGGGGGCGAGCGUUGUUCGGAUUUACUGGGCGUAAAGGGCGCGCAGGCGGCUAUCCAAGUCAGGCGUGAAAGCCCCAGGCUUAACCUGGGAACUGCGUCUGGGACUGGGUGGCUAGAGUUCGGGAGAGGAGAGUGGAAUUCCCAGUGUAGAGGUGAAAUUCGUAGAUAUUGGGAAGAACACCGGUGGCGAAGGCGGCUCUCUGGACCGAGACUGACGCUGAGGCGCGAAAGCGUGGGGAGCAAACAGG